CAUCAUGUGCUUCUUCUAUAGCCUGCUACAAGAACGAAUCUCAAAAUGCAAGCCGUCUUCUUGAUUACCGUUGUAUUUGCGCUCUUCGCCUUGGCUUUUGCUAAUCCCUCGCCAAAUCCCAACCCGAUGCCAAGACCAAAACCCCAAUAUUGGGGAUACGAUUAUGGAUUGAGGAUGCCGUAUUUUGGAAUGGGUUACGGAUACUACUACUAAUUGGCUUACAAUUUCUCGCUAACGAAAAAUGUUAAACCUGUUUCAAAUAAAUUUGGAUUAUUUUUAUAACAUUUUAAAAUAUUAUUAUUGUUUUUGGC